UAUAUUAAGUAUAAAUAAGUGUUCAUUCAGUAUUGUUGUAAUUGUCAUUAUUACAUGUAUAAAACUCUAAGAGUUCCACGAAAAUGGAAAGUGAGGAUGCCAGCUCAGCUUCUCGUGAGGAUGAAAUCAUCCACGAAAAGUGCAGCAGUGUUUUUUCAGUAAUAUGGAAGUGGUUCGGGUUUAAGCGGUCUGAUAUUCAGCAAACCAAUGUCAUGUGCAAAAUGUGUCGAAAGACAAUUGCUAUGAAAAGCAGCAGCACAACUAAGAAACGUUUGCGGUGGAAGGAGCUCAAUUACAUAGCGAAAUAUAUGGUCCCAAUCUUUACAGUAGAAAAGCUAGGCUUUAAAAAGCUGCUAGGUACAGUUGACCACAAAUAUCAGCUGCCAAGCCGCAAGUAUUUCACGGAAGAAGCCCUGCCGCGAUUAUACACUGCUACCCGCGAAAGAGGCGCAGAGAAGCUGGCUAGUGUUUAUUUUUCCACCACAGCCGAUCUAUGGUCGAGUAGAACCAGUCCACUACAUAAAUGAAGACUGGAAAUUGCAAAAAUUGUCUGCCUUCAGACGUCGUACUUCCCUGAGGAUCAUACGGGUGAAGUAAUAGCCCAGGUCUCAGAGACUCUCUGGCAUGGUGGAAGAUGAUCAUACUGGUGAAGUAAUAGCCCAGGUCUCAGAGACUCUCUGGCAUGGUGGAAGAUGAUCAUACUGGUGAAGUAAUAGCCCAGGUCUCAGAGACUCUCUGGCAUUGUGGAAGAUGAGUGAAGACUGACAGGUGUGCAUGACAACUGACAGCAGGAGCAACAUGAUAAAAGCAUUGCGCUUGAACAGCUGGACCCGCCUGCAGUGCUUUGGGUACAGGCUUCACCUCGCCAUCGAGAAUGGUGUGAAAGACCCACGAGUUGACCGUGCCAUUGGGUUGUGCAAGAAGAUGGUCAGCACCUUUUCCUUCAGCUGGAAGAAGAGGAGAGACUUGUCUGGAGCACAGGCUGAGCUCAGUCUACCCACUCACCAGCUCAUCACAGGUGGGGGUCAAGACAGAAGAUGACAGAACGAAUCCUGGAACAAGAAAAGGCCCGGGUCCUGGUCUCGGAGAAGAAAAGCAGGCACCUGGUGCCCAGCUAUCAGGAUAUCGACGUGUUGAAGUCAGUGAACAAAGCCCUUUACAGGAAUUCACUACGUUAGUGUCUCCUACCUCAAGCCUGUGAUAAACCUGUUCAGCCGCAGCCUCCUGCAGCCAGAGGAAGGUGAGGGCACGCUCACAAAGAAAAUCAAGAGUGUCCCACUACAGUAUCUCAACGACAAGUACAAAGACCCUGCCGCAGUUGAACUCCUUGAUAUGUCCUCGCUGGUGGAUCCCCGGGCUCAGCACCACAUGUAUAACAGAUGACGACAAGAUUGAGAGCAUCAAACAAAGAUCUGUUUUUAGAGCUGAAGUCUCUGCUUGCUGAGGAAAGCACACAUCACCCUGGGCACAACUGUGUGCCAAAGAAAGUGAACCUGUUUCUGAGAAAGGCAAGAAAACACUUGUAAGUUUCUUCAAGACGACAGCACUGUCUUGCCCAGAGUCAGAGGAGGACAACAUCAAAACUGAGUUGUCAAGUUACUUGUCAGCUCUUCAGACCCCUGACACAAAGACCCACUUGAGUGGUGGAGGCUCCGUGAGGCCAACAUCGCAAGACUAAGCUUGCUAAUAAAAAGUACCUGUGUAUUCCUGCUACAACUGCCCCUUUUAGAGAGGGACUUUAGCACAGCUGGGAACAUUGUGACAUGUCACAGGGCAUGCCUCAAGCCAGAGUCAGUAGACACGCUUGUGUUCCUCGCCAGAAACUUGUGAAGGACGAUAUUUUGUUUGACAGAAUUGUAAAAUUUGAUUUAUUAUUGUGCAAAUUCUUCUUAGGGAUACCUUUUUUCCCAUUAUUUUUAUUUGAUUUGUAUACGAUGACAGCCUGGUAAGCAGUGUUGCUCGUUUUGGCAGAAAUGGGCCUUGAGGCAUUGUGUAUAUAUUUUACAAUUUUUAUAAAGAAAAUUCAAUUGAGAA